rnacentral:tRNA from 1 species
AAGGGUGUAGCUCAGUGGUAGAGUGCCUGCUUAGCAUGCAGAAGGCCCUGGGUUCAAUCCCCAGUACCUCCU